rnacentral:rRNA from 1 species
CUACGGGACGCUCCAGUGGGGAAUAUUGGGCAAUGGGCGAAAGCCUGACCCAGCAACGCCGCGUGAAGGAAGAAGGUUUUCGGAUCGUAAACUUCUAUCCCAGGUGAAGAUAAUGACGGUAGCCUGGAAGGAAGCCCCGGCUAACUACGUGCCAGCAGCCGCGGUAAUACGUAGGGGGCAAGCGUUGUCCGGAAUGAUUGGGCGUAAAGGGCGCGUAGGCGGCCUUCUAAGUCCGAUGUGAAAGUCCUGCUUUUAAGGUGGGAAUUGCAUUGGAAACUGGAGGGCUUGAGUGCAGGGGAGGUAAGUGGAAUUCCCGGUGUAGCGGUGAAAUGCGUAGAGAUCGGGAGGAACACCAGUGGCGAAGGCGACUUACUGGACUGUAACUGACGCUGAGGCGCGAAAGUGUGGGGAGCAAACAGGAUUAGAUACCCCUGUAGUC